UGCAGUGAGCUGAGAUCAGGCCACUGCACUCUAGCCUGGGUGACAGAGUGAGAUUCCAUCUCAAAAAAAAAAAAAAAAAAAAGCAAAUAUGUGUGUGGCAAAACAGGGAUUUGAAACCCUGGGCCAACUGCAAGCUGGAACUGGAAUCAGGCCCUCUGGGAGAAGGGAGCCUGAGGGAAGGCCCCAGUUUGCACUGCAGUGGGGAUUGAAGGACUGAGAGGUGUAUGGCCUGUGAGACAAAGGGGUCAGGGGAGGGUGGGGUGGCCUUUGGAACUCUUGCCCACAGAACUGUGGUGAGCAAUUCUAAGUUGUUUCUGGGCCAAAUAGAAAAGGAGGAUGGAAGAAUUCAAUUCUGCCAAAAAAAGCUAUGAACACCAGACCCACAAUCGUAGAAGCACCCGCUGGGCCCUCUGCUCUCCCAAUCUAGCCUUCCAUCUGCACUCCAGUGCACCUUGGCUUCAUGCCCUGGACCCCCACCUAACACUGAAGGCAUUACCUUUUCCUUUGUUGCCCCACUUUGUCUACAAAGAGGAAACCACAGCCAAAGGGAGCACAGGCCUCACUGGAGCUUCAGGCCUCUCCCUCUUUAACACUCCCAUGGCUGACCAUGCUUUUAGAAAGAGAGUGAGAGACUCAGGGCCUGAGAAGGCAUUUCUUUUUUUCCUUUUCCUACCUGACUUUUUUUUUUUUUUUAGUUUUUUGGUGCCAUGACUCGGAUGUGAACCUCCUACCUGGCUUGUAAAUGAAAGUUUGUGAAAGUCCUUCAAGGAGAUAUAAGUCAAAUGGUAAAAUAACUAUUUCCUAUGCUCACCAUUUAUCAUGUGGGUCAAGAAUUUGGUCAGGUUAUAACAGGGAUGGUUUGUGUCUGCUUCAUAGUGUCUGAGGCAUCAGCUAGAAGAUUCAAAGGUUAACAGCUAGGGGCUGAAAUCAUCUGAAAGCUUGCUAACUCACAUGCCUGGCGGGCAAAAUCCACAUACAAUGCUAUCCACAGAUCUUAAAUGUAAUUUUCUGGAUUUUGACAGACAUAUAAACCUAUAAAUUGUGACAUUUAAAAACCA